AGCCGCGCUGGUUCACCUGCUCCCUUAAUACCACCUCUUUGGUCAAGAAAGCACAGCACUUCCUGAGGAGAUUGAGUGACAAAGUCAUAAAUGUCAGCAAUGACACGUGAAACUCACAGACGAUGCUUUUCCCCUCUGAACCAGAUGUAAUUUUUAAGUACAAAUCAGAGUGAUAUUCAUUCACUGCCAAGCUGUGCUGAAGAUUGAGUGGUCUAUCCAAAUCCUUUCGAGGAACUACUGCAGACUGCUCUAGUGAAGAGUACAGUACAAGCGUUAUACACUCCAUUCAAGCAGUCCAUCUUCAUCAGUCUUCUCCUCGUAGGGAGUGAUCUCAUGGAGCCAUUCUUCACUGCUCCCCAGCUGAGUCCUGGUAAUGCUGUGCUGUCAUGUUCUGAAAGAAUGCAGCUGAUGAUUGUGAAUCUCUAAACACUUACUUACAUUCUUACAAUGUGUUGUUUUACGAUGCUGUUCAUGAUGCUAAAUGAAAAGAUGCCAGAAUAUUGAACACUGUA